UGUCUUGUUUCCCAAAGUUCAAUCCUUAUAUACAUAUGGCUUAAAUGAAGAGGCCAAUAAACUUUUUUCCUUAAGGUGAUAAAUUUAGAUGUUUGUGCACUGGACAUGGAAUUUUGAACCCUUUUGGUUUAAUAGAAGUUUCAACCCACAAUUAUUUCCUAUCCUCUCCCCCCACCCCCCUCUCUCUCUGCAUGGUUUACUAUUUAUAUUUCUGCAUGUGGGCUCAUCUAUUGAGUGGAAAAUAUGAGAAUGCAGAUUAGAUUUCUUAAUGCACUAGAUUUCAAUGUUUAUG
rnacentral:misc_RNA from 1 species